rnacentral:lncRNA from 1 species
CUGCUUUGCCUCGCAGCUGGAGAAGCCACCUCGCUUCCCCUCCACUCUACUGGGGUGACGAGAUAGCAACUGACGUCAGCUCGGGCUGAUUGCGUCACGACCGCAGGCAAAUCGCCGCUCUUGCCAAAGCGCUUCUUCUCUCGCCUUCUGGAAAGGCCUCCGGAUUCGGGUUCGGUCCAGGCGGCGGGGCUGGUGGCCCGCGUGUAAGCCGGGGCUUCCACCACACACCUCACUUCCGGCGGGGGACGGGGCGGGGGGGCGUGUGUCUGCACGAGGUCUCGCGUGAAGUGGCUCUGCGGGAGCGGGAGCGGGAGCGGGAGCGGGAGCGGGUGCGACGCACGCGGCGGCGCAGGCGUCGGCCGCCCCGAGACCCACCGACACCCUUCGGGAGGUCGCAGCAGGCCCGACGCUGCGGGGGCUUCCCUGGAACCGGGCUGUGCCCCCGCGGCCACGUGGGGAGGCGGCGGCAGAGCCCCUCGGAGCGCCGCGUGCCUCCCGGAGGACGGCGAGAGCCGCAGCCCCGGCGGCUGCUGGGCCGCGGAGGCGGACAUUUGGAAACCAGCUCCGUGGAAGUUGUGAGGCACCCAGAGAGCACAAACUUCUAUCUUUUAUCUCAUGGAUCCAAUGUAACUGUUACCGAAGGUGGGAAAUUGGAGAUUGCUUCGACUGGAGAAUUUUCAAAGGCUUGAUACCUAAAUGUAUUCUUUGGGUUGAUUUUUCCCGAUGAUGCGACAUCAUUUGAAUACACUGAAGCCUCAUCAUUUACCAGGUUGGUAAUAAUUUUGAUACAAAAAUAAGUCUCCGUAGGAAUGCAGCUUGAACCAAUAACAAGCAACAGUGCUUUCUUUGUGAUAAAUUGACACUAAAGCCCAAUCCUGAAAAUCUCUUAUAUUAUUUAGAGGAGCAGUGAUCAAAGACAGAAGAGAAGAAAGAGCUGGCAGCCUCGUAUAUUCUCCACUGAUGCUGAGAUAGUGUCAGUAAUAGGUAAUGCAGUUACUACCGGGGAGAGCUGGAGAGCAGCUUUAAACUUCACAUUCAUAUAUCUUCUGGAAAAGUCAGGGCAGGAGUGAAAAAAAAAAAAAAAGCAUAGUAUCUUCCUGAAGUUCUUUAAAACUAGGUAUACAAAUUGCUGCUCCCCAGUAGGAUGAGGGCAAAUAUAAAUUUAAGUAGAACAAAACAAAAUAAUUGGAAUGUCACUGGAAUGCUGAUGGGAAUGAUAAGAAAAUUCUAAGGGUUGGCUAAUGAGGAUGGUUUUAAUCCAGAGAGAAUCUAAUCACUCUCUUUCCCAAUUUAUACAACACUGUUGUCAGGCUACUCUUCCUAAAGUCUGAUUUUCUCCACAUCACUUUUUGCUUAAAAUUCCCUGUGCUUUCUCAUGACUUUAUAGACUCUAGUGUCACAGGUAGCUCCACCAAUUUAUUGGACACAUUAAAAAAUUAAUGACCAAAUUUAAAUCUCAUCAUAUAAAAAGUUUAUUUACUUAUUUAUUUUUAUUUUAAAGAUUUUAUUUAUUUAUUCAUGAGAGACAGAGAGAGAGAGAGAGACAGGGAGAGGCAGAGGGAGAAGCAGGAUCUAUGUAGGAAGCCUGACGUGGGACUCGAUCCCGGGUCUCCAGGAUCAGGCCCUGGGCUGAAGGUGGCGCUAAACCGCUGAGCCACCCAGGCUGCCCUAAAAAGUUUAUUGACAACAAUCUAUACUAUAGCUUCCUAAAAAUUUAAAACAUUAUAGCUCGUGUAACAUAUACCAUUAUAGCAGAUCUUAAUCAUUAUCAAUAAAAUAUUAAUUCAUUUAUAUAUUCGCAUUUUAAUUAUGAAAAUAAAUAUUUUCUUUGCAGAUAGGACAAAUGAUUCUAUGAUCCAACCCUCCAUAACACUCAUUUGGCAGUGCUUACAAGUAAAACAUAUUCCCAGUUUAUUCUUCUCUAUAUAUUGCAGCUUAGUAAUCAUUUGAAGUGACUAGAUCCAUUCAAUUAUUUUUAUAGUGUUGUUUCACUCAUGUUCUUUUUUUCAGUUUUUCUUUUUUCAGUAUUUUCUAUUGAUUUUACAACAAAGUUUCCAUUUGGUUUUAUAAUCUAUAUGAUCAUAUUCCAACACUUUGCUUCAUGUUUUCUCAGUAGUCUUACAAAGGUUCCAUUUAUGUUUAUGCUUCUUAGACAUUAAAGCAUUUAAGUAAAUAAAAGUUCAGAAAUGUAUGCAAUUUUAUAUGUCAUAUUCAGUUAAAUUUAAAUAAACUUGUAUAAAUAGUAUAAGAUCAGGGGAAUCAUUUUACAAAUUGGAGUAUAGACUCUACCGUUUGUACUUAUAACAUAAUAGUCUUUUAAUUAAAGGGCAGAGGCACAUACAUAUAUAAGUACAUGUGUAUGUAUCUGUAUAUAUCUGUUGACAUUAAUUGAUAUAUAUUUUUCUUUUCCUCCUUCUUUUCUUCCUUUUUUCCUUCCAGUCAAUUGCACUGGAAGUGUGAAUUUCGGAUGACUCAUGACUUUUGAGUCUGUAAGCCACCUAGUCCAGCUUAAUGCUAGUUAACUUUUCUAUAUAAAACUUCUACUUUAAUUGGAGUGUGCUGUCUCAUAACAAGACAGUCUUCCUGCUUCUCCACCUUGCCUAUAUUAUUUCUCCCAUAGCAGUACCCAACUUUCUGUUUGCUCUUUCCAGAACUACCCAGUCUACCUUGGUCCCAUCUGUCACACUCCAGUCUCAUAGAUGCCUUCUUUGAUCUGAAAUCAUGUCAUCCAUCCCAUUUUACACGUAUUCAGAGUCAUACACAUGUGCUUUGCUGAAGGCUUGCUUUGUUAUGCAACUACCCAUACCUUAAUUUCCUGCCUCCCCAGCUAUAUUCUGAAUCCUAAGAGGACAAAAAUGUGGGCAUUCCACUUUUAUAGCACCUAGUAAUAAUUGGUAACUCAUGGGGAGUAGCUGUUGUAGUAGUAGAUGACUGAUAGAAUAGCAAUAAAUUUUCCAGGUUGUGUGGGGGCUAAUCAAAGUUGUUAAGAUUUAUUUGUUUUUGAUAUUGUAGUUCUUUCUUUAAAUGGAACAAAUAAAAAGGAAGAAAAAGCAGAGGACUAUUGCCUCUAACAUCAUGAGAAUGUUCUAGGCCUUUGCUGGAGAUAUUCUACAGUCUUGAAGAUUAAUCCUUGUCACUGGCUGUUUUAAUCAUACCACCAUCCUGGGUUUUAUUUUCUUAUGCUGAAAGCUGAAUAAGAACAUAGUCCUUCCAGAAUAGUAGCAGAAUAGGCUAGGUAAAUAGUAUAACUUUUAUUUCUCUAUUUUUUAAAAAUAAAUAUUUUAUAACAGAAGAUCUAGAUUUACAAAAAAGGUGCAAAGAUAGUAUAGGGAGUUCCUAUAUGCUAUACACCCAAGUUUUGCUUCUUAUUAACCUCUUAUAUUAGUGUGGUACAUUUAUUUCAACUAAUGAACAAAUGUAGAUAUAUUUUUAUUAACUAAUGCCUUCUUUUCUAUUCCAGGAUACCAUAUAACAUUUAGUAGUCAUGCUCCCUUAGGUCCUUAUUGGCUGUGAUUGUUUCACAGACUUUCCUUAUUUUUGAUUCAUGAUAAUUUUAAGGAACUGGUCAUGUAUUUUGUAGGCUGUCCCUCAACUGGGACUUACCUGUUGUUCUGAUUAGAUUGGUGUUACGUGCUUUGGGAGGAAGACCACAGAGAUUAAUGUAAUUUUUAUCAUGUCAUAUCAAGCGUACAUGUUAUUAACAUAACAUCACUGUUGAUAACGUUGAUCACCUGACUGAGAUAGUUUUUGUCAGGUUUUUCCACUGUAAAGUUAGGGGAUAAUUUUUCAAAGAGGAAGGAGAAUUGAAGGAUGGAAAAGACCACAAGAGAUUAACUUGACGAUUUAUUUUGGGCUCUUUGGUUAAGGCAUAUAGCCACUUUCCUACCUAAUUUUGAGAAUGUACAAAUGAUUUCCUGCUUCCCUAGUUUGAUAUUCAUUGUCGAUUUGAGCUCCCUUAUUGUUUUUGAACACCCCCUAUUACCUGCUGUGAAUAUAGAAUUGCCUUCUCAGCAAUAAGUAGGCCCUCCAGGGUUAUAGUCCUGAGAAUAUAGGCGAGAUUGCAGCACCCUCAGGAAGCAGGCAAAGAACCUUCUGAAGCUACUGCUCUCUGGGUAGAGCAACUUAGAAGAUGACUGGGUGACAACAGCCUUGAAAAUAGAAGUUUUCUUUAGUUAGGAUGGUGCUAAUAGUAGGAAGGUUCUGGUUGCUUUAUUUUGUUUUGUUUUGGAUAAGUAUUUUGGGCACCAGAGAUAUUGAAAAGGUGUUUGAGGGAGCUCCGUCACAGUAGCUAGGUCACAGUAGCUGAAAAGGACAGCAAGAACUGUAACUCUUUGUUGAUAGUUCCUAUGCCCCACAGGUUCCCCCGGUGUCCUCUUUGUGGGCUUUGAAUGAAGCAGAACAUUGUUUUCCAAAAAUACUCCCACUUAUAUUAUGAUCAUCAUUGCCAUUACCAUCAUUAUUGCUAUUCUCUGAAUCACCCAUCAGAGCAAACUUUCACAUAUUGACAGUGCCUGAGUAUAAGCACUUUAGUUACUUUUUCAAAACAAGUGUCUGCAGGGUCAUCCAGUCUUUGGAGCUUCAUAGACAGGCCCUCCAAUUAUAGACAAUGUUCUGAAAUUACCUUUGUGUUACACAGAUGCAUUUUUUCACAUUAAAUGCAAUUCCAUGAUGAGAGCAAGGCAAAGGGGGACAUAUAUAUUAUUCCACAGAAGGUAAAAUGAUACUCAGAAUGUCCUGAUUCACUAGAUGAGAAGUUAGGGUAUUCUGGGAGCAGAUAUAUUCCAUGGAAGGCCAAGGUGUUUCUGUACACUCAAAAGUUUCAAAUCAGGUGUUUAUUGCCUAAAACAUGUCUGAGAAAAUUAAUGAGGUAAGUUAUUACCUACCCUGUCUGCAAUUUUUCCAUUACCAGCUAUAAAAGCGGGUAGCAAUCUCACUCUUCCUUGAAGGCAUCAUUCAUUAUAAAUUACUUGCUUUCAAUCAUGAGAGGAAUACAAUGAAAAGGAAAGUACCAAAGAAGGUCUUCACUGUGCUUUGUUA